UUUAAUGUGGCAGAUAAGUGCCAUGGGUUUAAGUUCCAUUCAUAAAGGUUUUCCUUUCAUUAAAA
rnacentral:tRNA from 1 species